rnacentral:lncRNA from 1 species
UUUCUUCCCAAAUCUCACUCCUUCACUGAAUCACUGCUGCUGCUCUCUCUCUCCCCUUCUCUUUUCCCCAAAAACGGCGUUGCUUAGUCAAUGCGCUUUACCUAAUCUGCCUUUAUUCACAGAGGUAACUUCACUUUCAUUCUUUGUCGCUUUUUCUUGUAAUUCAAUUUUUGUCUGCAGUUAUGUUUAUCAUUGCUAUGUCUAUGAUUGUUUGGCGUUUGUGUGCAUAUCUCAUAAUUAAUUCGCCAAUUUCUGAGUGAAUUUCUUUGUUGUGUGCGAAUGCGGUCAACAAUGAAAUUGUUGGAAGAAGAAGGCUAUCCUUCCCAUAAAUAAGCUAACUUAGAUUGUUCUUUUCUGCUUUGUGCUUAGCUCGUGUUUCUUUUUCGAUGUGGAUGUCGUUUCUGAUGUGCUUUGUUUGAUUUUAGACAGUGAAAUGUGUUCUGCUGAAGGUGAUGAAAAAUUAGAAUACUGAAUGUUUGUCUGCUAUAAGUCAAUUGCGCCACAAAAUCUCCGGUGAUUGCUCUUAUGGUAUCUAAUCAACUCUAGGCUCCAAUUGUCUUAGGGUUAUGCCUUAAAUCAAGUAGGUCAAGUGUGCAUUGAAGAGAUC